rnacentral:sRNA from 1 species
UGCUGGCCUCUCCCUGUGCGUAGCAGAGGCUCGGCGCCUGGAGUGACCGGCACGUGUGAGACUGCACUCGCUUACUCUGUGUCUUGGCAGCCAUUCGAUGAGGACUAUCUAAACCAUCUCGAGCCUCCCGUGAAGCACAUGUCCUUCCACGCCUACAUCCGGAAGCUGACUGGAGGGGCUGACAAGGGGAAGUUUGUUGCCCUGGAGAACAUCAGCUGCAAGAUUAAGUCAGGGUGUGAGGGGCACCUCCCGUGGCCGAAUGGCAUCUGUACUAAGUGCCAGCCGAGCGCCAUCACGCUGAACAGACAGAAGUACAGGCAUGUGGACAAUAUCAUGUUUGAGAAUCACACCGUCGCUGACCGCUUUCUUGACUUCUGGAGAAAGACAGGGAACCAGCAUUUUGGGUACUUAUACGGACGGUACACGGA